AAAAAACUGCGUUAGGGAUGGGAGCGGCAUCCUUUUGCGAUACCCUGGACAUCUUCCCCAUCCUAAAACCCCCAAUCGCAAAAGAUACAGCGGACAGCCCGGCCCGGA
rnacentral:sRNA from 1 species